AAUAAAUCAAAUCAUUUUGUUUUAUAUUUACUCCGAGAAAGUCCAACUUCAGAAUAAAAUAUUUUACUUGUAAGAAGAGAUUUUAUAUUUCUUGUAUCGUUUAACUUUAUUAUUUUUUUAAAUACAUGUCCGUAGGUUGAGCUUUUUCUCCUGUUAGCCAAUUAUAUAUCCCCCGAUCGCAUUAGACAUUUCACAAUAGUUUCACAGAAUUAGUUUUUAAUUAUCGCUGUGAAAUCUAAAUGUCAUCCUAAUUUACGUGUUGUAAAUUACUAUGAUAUGGGCAUAAAAUACUCAGGCCGGGUUGUUUUAGCUAAGGUUUUUUUUUGCCUAAACCAGCAGUUCUAGAUUUUUUCACUAUGAAGCUGAUGAUCUUGGUUCUUAUGCUCUUCGCCCAUGUGGGCAAUUCGUUGUCUCGGAAAAAAAUCUGUUUUCAACCUCCUUCUAAAAAUUAUAUUGAUGGAAAACCCUGUCAAACUAAGAGGCCCAGUUGGUCCUACGUUCCCCGCAAAAAAAAAUGUAUUAAAUUUAUCUACGGAGGAUGUGGUGCAAACGGCAACCGAUUUGAUUCAAAGACAAAAUGUGACAUGACUUGUGUUUGGACAAAAUUAGUACUGUGGAAGGGCAGGUGACAAACAAUAAAAAUCAACAAAAUAAAUGUGUUAGAUUUAUCUUCGGAGGCUGUGGUGAAAACGAAAUCAUUUUGUUUCACAGAACUGAGUGAAAUGAAGCUUGAAAUCAUAUUGAAAAUAAAUCAAAUAAUAUUGUUUUA